GGGUGGCUGGCUCAGUGAUUAGAGCCUAGGGCUUUGGAGCAAGAGGUCCCGGGUUCGAAUCUCGCAAUAGGCA
rnacentral:tRNA from 1 species